rnacentral:rRNA from 1 species
UAUGAAGGGGACUAGCGUUGUUCGGAAUCACUGGGCGUAAAGCGCACGUAGGCGGAUGUGUCAGUCAGGGGUGAAAUCCCGGGGCUCAACCUCGGAACUGCCUUUGAUACAGCACGUCUCGAGUCCGGAAGAGGUGGGUGGAAUUCCUAGUGUAGAGGUGAAAUUCGUAGAUAUUAGGAAGAACACCGGUGGCGAAGGCGGCCCACUGGUCCGGUACUGACGCUGAGGUGCGAAAGCGUGGGGAGCAAACAGG